GUAGUACUCCCUCCGUUCCAAAAUACUUGACUUCCAUUUGUCCAAAAAUGGAUGUACCUAUAUACUAAAACAUGUCUAGAUACAUCUAUAUUUUGAUAAAGGGAAGGCAAGUAUUGUGAAACGGAGGGAGUACCAG
rfam:Triticum aestivum genome assembly, contig: Triticum_aestivum_CS42_TGACv1_scaffold_159713_2DL